rnacentral:rRNA from 1 species
UCAAGCGAAGAAGAGCACAAGGUGAAUGCCUUGGCAUCAGGAGCCGAAGAAGGACGCGACAAGCUGCGAUAAGCCACGGGGAGCUGCAAAUAAGCUUCGAUCCGUGGAUUUCCGAAUGGGGAAACCCCCGUGAUGAAUAGUCACGGAGCGUAACAUGAAUCCAUAGUGUUGCGCGGGGAACCCGGGGAACUGAAACAUCUAAGUACCCGGAGGAAAAGAAAUCAACCGAGAUUCCGCGAGUAGUGGCGAGCGAAAGCGGAAAAGGCGAAACCGGAAGUAGUAAUACUUUCGGGGUAUGGACCGUGAUGUGGAAUUGUGAAGGCGUAGUCGAACGGCGUGGGAAAGCCGACCAGAGACGGUGAGAGUCCGGUAGACGAAACGCGGUAACAUCCUAACGGUAUCCUUAGUAUCAGCGGACACGAGAAAUCCGGUGAGAAGACGGGGGGACCACCCUCCAAGCCUAAAUACUACCUGAUGACCGAUAGCGGAGAAGUACUGUGAAGGAAAGGUGAAAAGAACCCCGGGAGGGGAGUGAAAGAGAACCUGAAACCUUGUGUUUACAAGCACACAAAGCACGUUAAGGUGCGAUGUGGUACUUUUUGUAGAACGGUCCGGCGAGUUAUAGUAUGCAGCGAGGUUAAGUGAUUCAGUCACGGAGCCGCAGGGAAACCGAGGGUGAAGAGCCCGUAGAGUUGCAUGCCAUAGACCCGAAACCGGGUGACCUAUCCAUGAGCAGGUUGAAGUAGAGGUAAAACUCUAUGGAGGACCGAACCGACCCCCGUUGAAAAGUUGGCGGAUGACUUGUGGAUAGCGGAGAAAUUCCAAUCGAACCCGGAUAUAGCUGGUUCUCCCCGAAAUAGCUUUAGGGCUAGCCUUGUGUGAUGUUUACCGGAGGUAGAGCACUGAAUAGGAGAGGGGUCGAGAGAUUACCAACCCUUAUCAAACUCCGAAUGCCGGAUAAAUUAACACGGGAGUCAGACUGUGUGAGAUAAGUCUCACGGUCAAAAGGGAAACAGCCCAGACCUACAGCUAAGGUCCCCAAUAUACGCUCAGUGGAAAAGGAUGUGACAAUGCUAAGACAACUAGGACGUUGGCUUAGAAGCAGCCACUCAUUGAAAGAGUGCGUAAUAGCUCACUAGUCGAGUGAUGUUGCGCCGAAGAUUUAACGGGGCUCAAGCGUAUAACCGAAGCUUAGGAUCCUAUGGGAUGGUAGGGGAGCGUUCUGUACGGGGCGAAGCAUGAGCGGAAGCACAUGUGGACUGUACAGAAGUGAGAAUGCCGGAAUGAGUAGCGAGAAUUGCGUGAGAAUCGUAAUGGCCGAAAAUCUAAGGUUUCCGGGGGUAGGUUCGUCCGCCCCGGGUUAGCCGGGAGCUAAGGCGAGGCCGAAAGGCGUAGUCGAUGCACAUACGGUAGAGAUUCCGUAGCCGCUAAACUUUUAAAUAUACUGACACGAUUGUGGACUCCGUGCCGGGCGUUGGUUGCCCCGGUCGCAAGGGACUGAAAUUAUAGUAGGGAAGAGGAGAAAGCAAGCGGCGAGAAAAGGUAUAUGUAUAAGUCAGGCGCCCGUACCGCAAACCGACACAGGUAGAUGAGGAGAGAAUCCUAAGGCCAACGGGAGAAGGGUUGUUAAGGAACUCGGCAUAUUGACCCCGUAACUUCGGAAGAAGGGGUGCCCCCGCAAGGGGGCCGCAGUGAAAAGGCCCAGGCGACUGUUUAUCAAAAACACAGGUCUCUGCAAAACCGAAAGGUGAAGUAUAGGGGCUGACGCCUGCCCGGUGCCGGAAGGUCAAGGGGAAGUGUUAGAGCAAUCGAAGCACAGAACUUAAGCCCCGGUAAACGGCGGCCGUAACUAUAACGGUCCUAAGGUAGCGAAAUUCCUUGUCAGGUAAGUUCUGACCCGCACGAA